GACGUAGGUGGCGAACGUUAUCCGGAAUCAUUGGGCGUAGAGGGUGCGUAGAUGGCAUGAUAAGUUAUUAGUGGGAAAUCGAGGCUCAACCUCGUGGAAGCUAGUAAUACUGUUUUGCUUGAGUGCAGAAGAGGUUAACGGAACUCCAUGUGGAGCGGUAAAAUGCGUAGAUAUAUGGAAGAACACCAAUAACGGCGAAGGCAGUUAACUAUUCUGUUACUGACAUUGAGGCACGAAAGCGUGGGGAGCAAAACGG
rnacentral:rRNA from 1 species